GCCUCACUGUGCGAAGAAACAGGAGCAGCAGGAAGGAGACAAACGAAUCCCGCAUGGUGCAGCAGUGAAACCCUGUCACUGUGAGUGGAAAGUCAUCCAAAAACGUGGCUAUUCCGUUGGUUGGCCAUGAGCUCCACAAUGGACUUGGUUUCGCCAAAGCGCAGGAACUGUUGCAAGGUUGCAAUCUCCUCCUCAAAUGUCAUCAUAGCCCAACGAUCCAACACUUUCCCUGCUACAUCCUGGGACAAACACAACACGCUUUUACUGUUCAUACAGAAGAAUUGAAGGCUGUGGGUGAAUUACCAGAUGACCUCCCAGCAAAAUAUCUUUGAUCUGUUCCUGCAGUGUCCAGUCCAGUGCAUUGAGGAUUUGGAUUACCUCUUCCUGUUUGAGGACAGAGAAAAGGCGGUCCAGAAGGAUCUUGAGGCGGAUGGGAAUUGCUUGGGUACCGUACAGCAUCAAGCUGCAGAUGUCAAACACCACAUUGGAAUGCACGAUCUCCACCUGGCUGCUCUGACCUGAGAACACAAAGGCAGACAGUCGUAUCCCAGAUGUCCUUGUUUCCGGUGAUGGGCAGAGAAUGGGACACAUCAGCAACCUUUGAGCAAUUACUGGUGCUUUAGAGUUUAGAGUGCAGCAGGAUGAUGCCAGAUUGUUGCCUAAACAGCCUGUUUCCUAGGACGUUCCUUCCUGUCCAUUUUAUUUGUCACGCAACCUGUUGCUAUGAAUUCACUCUUACUACGUCUUCACGGGAUGUCACUUUAUAUAUACAGUAAUCCCUCAUUUGUUUCACUUCCAAUAAUAAUAAUAAUUAAUAAGUCAAUUUCAUAUCCGGGCUGCACGGCAGUUGUGUGGUUAGCGCAGAGAAAUGUAUUACAUUUGCGGGAUUAUUACAUUAAAAACUGCAGAUUUGUACUCCGGUUUCCUCCCACAUUCCAAAAACAUGCUAGGUUAAUUAGCCACUCCAAAUUGUCCAUAGGUAUGAAUGUGAGUGUGAAUGGUUGUUUGUCUAUAUGUGCCCUGUGAUUGGCUGGCCACCAGUCCAGGGUGUAUUCCACCUCUCGCCCGAAGACAGCUGGGAUAGGCUCCAGCACCACCAUUGUGAGGAUUAGAGGUAGAAAAUGAAUGAAUGAAUUAAUUUCUUAUCCAUAAAUGGAAUACGUCUCAUAGUUAAGAGCAUAGAAAACAUGUGACCUUCUAAAUACAGUUUUAAACAUUAUUAGAGUCCUCUAGACAUGAAAUAACACCUCCGUAGACACCUUUACACUGUGUAG